rnacentral:rRNA from 1 species
UGGGGAAUAUUGCACAAUGGACGGAAGUUUGAUGCAGCGACGCCGCGUGGAGGGUGUAGGCCUUCGGGUUGUGAACUCCUUUUUCUCGCGAAAAAGGCACAGUUUUGGCUGUGUUGAUGGUAGUGGGGGAAGAAGCGCCGGCUAACUACGUGCCAGCAGCCGCGGUAAUACGUAGGGCGCGAGCGUUGUCCGGAUUUAUUGGGCGUAAAGAGCUCGUAGGUGGUUCGUCGCGUCUGUCGUGAAAGCCAGCAGCUUAACUGUUGGUCUGCGGUGGUUACGGGCGGGCUUGAGUGCGGUAGGGGUGACUGGAAUUCCUGGUGUAGCGGUGGAAUGCGCAGAUAUCAGGAGGAACACCGAUGGCGAAGGCAGGUCACUGGGCCGUUACUGACACUGAGGAGCGAAAGCGUGGGGAGCGAACAGG